rnacentral:rRNA from 1 species
AGUGAACGCUGGCGGCAGGCCUAAUACAUGCAAGUCGAACGGCAGCACAGCAGAGCUUGCUCUGUGGGUGGCGAGUGGCGGACGGGUGAGGAAUACAUGGGAAUCUGCCCAGUCGUGGGGGAUAACGUAGGGAAACUUACGCUAAUACCGCAUGCGCCCUUCGGGGGAAAGCCGGGGACCGUAAGGCCUGGCGCGAUUGGAUGAGCCCAUGUCGGAUUAGCUAGUUGGCGGGGUAAUGGCCCACCAAGGCGACGAUCCGUAGCUGGUCUGAGAGGAUGAUCAGCCACACUGGAACUGAGACACGGUCCAGACUCCUACGGGAGGCAGCAGUAGGGAAUAUUGGACAAUGGGCGCAAGCCUGAUCCAGCCAUGCCGCGUGAGUGAAGAAGGCCCUCGGGUUGUAAAGCUCUUUUGUCCGGAAAGAAAAGUCUUGGGUUAAUACCCCGAGAUUCUGACGGUACCGGAAGAAUAAGCACCGGCUAACUUCGUGCCAGCAGCCGCGGUAACAC